UACAGAGGCCUCGAGCGUUAGGCGGAAUCACUGGGCUUAAAGCGUGUGUAGGCGGACUUCUAAGUGCCUUGUGAAAUCCCACGGCUCACCCGUGGAACGGCUGGGCAUACUGGUCGUCUUGAGCCACCUAGGGGCUGCCGGAACAAAUGGUGGAGCGGUGAAAUGCGUAGAUAUCAGGAGGAACACCGGUGGCGAAGGCGGGUCUCUGGGCCGAUACUGACGUGAGGAGCGAAAGCGUGGGGAGCGAACAGG
rnacentral:rRNA from 1 species